rnacentral:siRNA from 1 species
CUCAAUUUGGUUUGAUGGGUUC